ACCCAGAGGGACCCACCGAGCCCCAUAGGGAUGCACAGAAACCCCAUAGGGGCACAGAAACCCAUAGGGACCCAGAGAAACCCAUAGGGAUCCCUGUGUCCCCAUAGGGACCCAGAGAACCCCAUAUAGACCCUAGUGACCCUACAGGGACCCAUAGAAACCCAUAGAGACCCACAGAAACCUAUAGGGACACACCAAAGCCCAUAGAGACCCAUAGGGCCACACCAAACCCCAUAGGGGCACAGAGAACCCCAUAGGGACCCACAAGGCCCCAUAAUGGCACUGAGAAACCCAUAGGGACCCAUAGAAACCCAUAGGGACCCAUAGAAACCCAUAGGGACCCAUAGGGACACAUCGAACCCCAUAGGGGCACAGACAAACCCCAUAGGGACCCAGGUAGCCCUAUAGGAGAGCCCCAUAGGGACCCACAGAACCCCAUAGGGAUCCCAGUGUCCCCAUAGGGACCCAGAGAAACCCAUAGAGACCCCAGUGACCCUACAGGGACCCACAGAAACCCAUAGGGAUCCCAAUGUCUCCAUAGGGACCCACAGAACCCCAUAGGAACCCAGAUGGCCCUAUAGGAGAGCCCCAUAGGGACCCAAAGAACCCCAUAGGGAUCCCAGUGUCCCCAUAGGGCUCCACAGAACCCCAUAUGGACCCCAGUGACCCUAUAGGGACCCAGAGAAACCCCAUAGGGACCCAGAGAACCCCACAGGGACCCCGGCGUCCCCACUGGGACCUCGAUGACCCUAUAGGAACACGGAGAACCCCAUAGGGACCCCAUUGUCCUCAGUGGGACCCACAGGACCCUAUAGGAGAACCCCACAGGGACCCCAACUUCCCCAUAAGGACCCAGAUGCCCCCAAAGGGAUUCAGUGGGGCACAGCCAGGGGACCCCCCGAGUGACCCCACCGCCCCACAUGAACCCCACAGCGCCCCACGGACCCCACAGCGCCCCACGGACCCCACAGAGCCCCACGGACCCCACUCACCGCCCUCCACCGCCGCUCCCGUUCUGUUCCCGGAUGUCGCCGCGGCGCCCAAUCAGCGCUCAGCUUUCAAGCCACGUUCCCGCCCCCUUGCCUCUAGCAGCCAAUCGGCGCUCAGUCCACCGCCCCGCCCCGCCCCCGUCGCUAGUGGGCGGGUCUAAAAACCCGGAAGUAUCUCCCGGUCGCUAUGGAGCAGAGCGGCGCAUGCGCAGAACCCAAUCUUCC
ensembl:lncRNA